rnacentral:rRNA from 1 species
UACGUAGGGUGCGAGCGUUAAUCGAAAUUACUGGGCGUAAAGUGUGCGCAGGCGGCAGAGCAAGUCGAGUGUGAAAGCCCCGGGCUUAACUUGGGAAUUGCGCUCGAAACUACUUUGCUGGAGUGUGGCAGAGGAAGGUGGAAUUCCACGUGUAGCGGUGAAAUGCGUAGAGAUGUGGAGGAACACCAAUGGCGAAGGCAGCCUUCUGGGCCAACACUGACGCUCAUGCACGAAAGCGUGGGGAGCAAACAGG